GUAGAUACGUACCCUCCGGCCUGGGAUAGUCCGUCGAAAGACGGGGUAAUACCAGAUGACGUCUCCGGACCAAAGGUGUGAUUCCACCGGGGGAGCGGUCUGCGUCCUAUUAGCUUGUUGGCGGGGUAAUGGCCCACCAAGGCAAUGAUGGGUAGCGGGUGUGAGAGCACGACCCGCGUCAUUGGGACUGAGACACUGCCCAGACACCUACGGGUGGCUGCAGUCGAGGAUCUUCGGCAAUGGACGCAAGUCUGACCGAGCGACGCCGCGUGCGGGAUGAAGGCUUUCGGGUUGUAAACCGCUGUCAGUGGGGAGGAAAUUCAUGAGGGUACUCUCUCAUGAUUGACCUAUCCGCAGAGGAAGCAAGGGCUAAGUUCGUGCCAGCAGCCGCGGUAAGACGAACCUUGCUAACGUUAUUCGGAAUUACUGGGCUUAAAGGGUGCGUAGGCGGUGCAGCAAGUCGGGUGUGAAAUCCCUCAGCUCAACUGAGGAAUUGCGCCCGAAACUGCUGUGCUA
rnacentral:rRNA from 1 species